AGUGAACGCUGGCGGUAGGCCUAACACAUGCAAGUCGAACGGCAGCACAGUAAGAGCUUGCUCUUACGGGUGGCGAGUGGCGGACGGGUGAGGAAUACAUCGGAAUCUACUUUUUCGUGGGGGCUAACGUAGGGAAACUUACGCUAAUACCGCAUACGACCUACGGGUGAAAGCAGGGGAUCUUCGGACCUUGCGCGAUUGAAUGAGCCGAUGUCGGAUUAGCUAGUUGGCGGGGUAAAGGCCCACCAAGGCGACGAUCCGUAGCUGGUCUGAGAGGAUGAUCAGCCACACUGGAACUGAGCCACGGUCCAGACUCCUACGGGAGGCAGCGGUGGGGAAUAUUGGACAAUGGGCGCAAGCCUGAUCCAGCCAUACCGCGUGGGUGAAGAAGGCCUUCGGGUUGUAAAGCCCUUUUGUUGGGAAAGAAAAGCAGCAGGUUAAUACCCCGCUGUUCUGACGGUACCCAAAGAAUAAGCACCGGCUAACUUCGUG
rnacentral:rRNA from 1 species